AGCAGCCGCGGUAAUUCCAGCUCCAAUAGCGUAUAUUAAAGUUGUUGCAGUUAAAAAGCUCGUAGUUGAAUUUCGGGGUUAGUAGGUUGGUCGUGCCAAUGGUAUGCACUGGCCUCACUGAUUCCUCCUUCUUGAUGAACCUUAAUGCCAUUAAUUUGGUGUUUUGGGGAAUCUGGACUGUUACUUUGAAAAAAUUAGAGUGUUUAAAGCAAGCUAACGCUUGAAUACAUUAGCAUGGAAUAAUGAAAUAGGACGUUUGAUCCUAUUUUGUUGGUUUCUAGGAUCGACGUAAUGAUUAAUAGGGAUAGUUGGGGGCAUUAGUAUUCAAUUGUCAGAGGUGAAAUUCUUGGAUUUAUUGAAGACUAACUACUGCGAAAGCAUUUGCCAAGGAUGUUUUCAUUAAUCAAGAACGAAAGUUAGGGGAUCGAAGACGAUCAGAUACCGUCGUAGUCUUAACCAUAAACUAUGCCGACUAGGGAUCGGAUGAUGUUAAUUUUUAAUGACUCAUUCGGCGCCUUAC
rnacentral:rRNA from 1 species